rnacentral:lncRNA from 1 species
AAACCUCAGAAUAUUUUGCUUCUCUUCCUUCUUCUGUCUGUUUUGUUUCAAUGAAACUCUAGUAUUUAUAGCCUAAUAUUGGUAGCUUAGUAGGCUUUUGAGAGAGGUCCAAGUCUGAGAUUUUUUAUUUAUUUAUUUAUUUAUUUAAAUUUUUUUAUUUUUUUUCGUUUUUUUUUUCAUUUUUUAUUUAAAUAAAGUUUCUUGGAUCUGAUUCUGAUUGACAUGAUGAAAUGUAAUAUGAAAUGUUAAAUGACCUAAAAAUGAAUGCAUGAAUGAGGAGGGCAAAUUUUGGGGUGUUACAUUAGGAUGUAG